ACCUGGUUAAUGUCUUCUCUGACUGGGCAUUGCAUGGGCCAUGCUGGUAGCUACAUAUUUGAGUGUCAUUCUAUCAAGUGAGUAUUAUAUAAAGUAACCUAAAUGCAGUGUACAAAAGUGUGAUUAAGAGGUUUAUAGUCAUUAACCUAACUUCUCAAGGAAAUUUUAAUGUCAGGUAUUUAUUACCAUGUAGACUUUUAAAUGUAAAAUGAUAGAUGGUCUAGGGACCUCGGAAAUUCCCUCAAACUUGAGCUUCUACUCUUUCUUCUCUGUGAUGUGGCAUAUGUUCUAACUUAAAAAUCCUGGAUUUUGGUUCUUCCAGGAUCAUUAGGCCAUUCUUAAGGUCCUCCUUUCAUUUUAGGACAGAGAAAUGUGAUCACAUGAUCUCUUGUAGUGGUGUAACAUGUCUCUUUACUACAGGGCAUAUAGAAUUGUUCAGCUUCGUUCUUUUAUAUCUAAAUUGUUUUUUGUUUUUUUUUUUUUUAGCUUAACUGUUUUAAGUUUUAAUGUCUCUCUGCAAACAGAAUAUGUUGGUCUAAUCUGUAGACUUCAGCCUACAGAUACAGUCUUUUUAAAAUUAACCCUGACACAAGAGAUUACAUAUAAUUGGGUCAUUGUAUAUGGAUACUUUAGGUAUAAAUAGAGGGCAUAGUAAAUUAAAAAAAAAUUAGAAUUUUUCUAGCAGAUUUGUAACCUACUUGAAGGACUUGGUUGAUUUAAAAUUUGGUUUAUCUACCACUGAAAUGGUUGCUUAUUUGAAGUUCUUUAUUGAAUGAGGAAAAAAGUUCUUUUCCUUCUACACGAAAUAAUAGCAAUUUUUUAUUUAAUAAGCUUAGACAAGUGAAAUUCUUCCUAUUUAAAAUGUACCCUUUAAAAUCUUCCUAUCUAAAAUGUGAUUAAAAAUAAUAUUCUGGAUAGAGUUCCCUUUUGCAUCAGUUAACACAGACUAUCAAUCCCUCCCCACCCACUUGCAAGCUCAAUGUCAACAUGCAUAAAUCCUUCAGACAAAACUAGAUUACUGGAUUCCUAGUAGAAUUAACUUUUAUUGAGGCAAUUUAGCAUGGAAAGAAAUACAUGUAAAGUGGAUCUUUUAUCAUCUUUAACAACUUGAAAAUUUCCCUUUGAUUUUAUCAGCAGAUUUGUUGCAACUAAGAGUCACAUUGCAGUUAUAGGGUUGAGCAUGCAGUCAGUGGUCAUAAAUAAGUUUCAUCAUUAAGAAAACAAUUCAGUGUUCACACCCUGCUGAUGGUUUCUGGUAUUUCCUAUCACAGGUUUGCAUAUGAUACAACUGACCACCACAUACCAGCUUCUGGAUGCCAACACUAUUUUCAGCUGUUUUAGUGUACCAAUAAUUUUAAGUCUUAGAGCCCUAUAAUGCAGGUAAUAUGUGUUAUAGCCAAGAGCUCAAUAUGAUUGUAGAUAUGAAUACAAUACUGUUUCUCAGGAUUUUCUAGAAACCUCUUGUCCAGAAAGUCUCUGUGAGACCUUUCUUUUUGGGAUCUUUUCUAAGUCUUAACUGGGUUAAAAAUCCCUCCCAUUAUGACUAGUACACUGUAUUGUGAGUUCCCACUUGACCACUCCAUCUCUCUCACAAAAACCUAAACUUCUAGAUGGUAGGGACUAUACCUUAUUCCAGAUGACUCAGUCAUUAGUUACAUUUGUAGAACUUAUAAAUCUGUGAUGAUGGCUAAUGCAGUAGUGCACAGAAAAAUCUCCCAGUAGAGGGCCAAGCACAGUGCACCCAAUGGAGUGAUGAAGCAGAUUUUGGGGUGCUGAUGCAUGUCUGAUAGUGGGUUUGAUUAUGGGAACAUGUGGGAUGUCUGAAUUUGAGAUAGUGGGAUGGUACCAUGGCAGUGACGAAAAGAUCUACAACAGGGCCAUGAGAAUGGAUGGGUAAGUGCAGUGUCCUCCAGUGUGAAGAGGCCAAGAAGUUGAUACAUCAGGGUGUGUGUGAAAUGUGAUAGCUCUGCAGACAUUUCAGUAUCCAGGAAGGAAACAAGGGCACCAGGAGCGAUAAAAACAUCCUAGAAUGUUCAGCCAUGAAAGCGAUAGGAAUGAUAUAUGGAGGGGUAUUUCUAAGUAGAGUGCUAUGUUUAGGAAGCAAUGUAGGGAAGGUACCCUUGCUGGACCUCUAGAAUAAGCCAAAGGAGGCUGUAGGAGGGAAAAGAAAAUCCACAGAAAACCAGCUACUGUUUGAGAGGGUUCCAAAAGGGAGUCGUAGGACCAGAACAGCCCUACCAAUGCUUACAGUCAAUGUCGGAGAAUCCUGAGGAUUUAGUAGAUGGAUGGGUGGGUGGGUGAGGGGGGUGAAUGAUGAAAACAAUGACAAGUCAAUGAAUGCCUGGAGAAAGAAAUGAAAAAAGCAAAUGGGGAAAUUGUCAGAUCCACAUGAUUAUCUUUUAUGUGGGAUGUGCCCUUGUAUUGUUUUUCCAUUCCUUACAUUGUGUCUGUCUCCAAAUUACAGAGUCAUAACCAGCUCAAGCCCAUCUGAGAUCUGUUCUUACAUACCUACAUUCUAGGAUGUUUCAGCAAUCAAUUAAUAAUACUUUGCAUGUGGCAAACUAAGAGAGGGUUGUCAGAAUUCCUCAGGCUUUUAAAAUGCCAGCUCUGUGAAAGCUGUGAAAACUGCCUCAGAUAUGUUUACUGUGCUGAGCUUUGUUAAUCGGUUCUAAAGAUGAAUCACAGUACAGCGCAGAUACCAAAAUUUAUUGCCUUUAUCUAAUUUCUUUGUAAUACAGUAGCAAAAAAAGCCAACCAUUGACUUUUAAUAUGUAAUCUCAACAAUGAAACUGCUAUAUAUACUGAUAUCAUUUACAUUUUUGUCAAAUAACCAAUGCUAUUCAGCAUAAUAAGUAGUUUCUAAAAUAUGCACUAGAUGCUUAUCUAUUGUGAUGAGAAUAUAAUUAUAAAUAAGAUGAUGCAUCUGACUCAAGAAACUUAAGAGUCUAGUGAGGAGAGACAUCCAAAUAGACAUUUAAUUUCAAAUGUUAAACUGCAAGGUUUUAUACAUAUAGUUUUGAUGAGAAGAGUACAACAGUGGGCAACAGAGUAAAACAGAUUUGGAAGCUGAAAGAAUAGGUUCAAAUACAUAUUUACUUCUCUGUUAUGGUUUGAAUUGUGUUCCCCUAAAAUAUACAUAUUUUGAAGUCCUAACCCCUCGUCAUAUGAACAGGAUGUUAUCUGGAAAUAGGUCUUUACAGAGGUAAUUAAAAUGAGGUUAUUAGGAUGUGUAUGAAUCCAAUAGGGCUGAUGUCCUUCUAAAAAGGGGAAAUUCUGAUGUGUGGACAGACAGACGCAGAGAAAGACAGAGUCUACCUACCAACAAACACCAGAGACUCAGGCAAAACACCAGCAGCUAGAAGAAGCGAACUGAGCAGUAUGGCCCCGCUGACACCUUGAUUUUCGAUUUCUAGCCUCCAUGACUAUAAGACAAUACGUUUAUUUUUCAGCCACCAAGUCUGUGGUACUUCUCAUGGCAGGCCUAGAAAACAAGUAUAUUUUCUAUAAGAUUUUGAGAAACUCAGAUAACCUCCUUGAAUGUGCUAACUUUCCUGCAAAAUGGAAACAGUGUUGCAUAGUACCAAGCAACACAGGGUCAUAUUAAGACAUCCUGUAUGUGAGACAUCUGGUAUACAACUGGUGCUUAAUAAAUGGAAAUUGUCACUAUGAUAUUUUUAAAAUAGGAUCUUUUCAGAGCUUUGAGUAUCCUGAUGCCAAAAACAUUUAUUUUCUAUUUUCUUUAUGAAGUGUGAUUAUGUAUCAACUUUAAGUGCUACAAAUAGUCACUUUAUAAGCUAUUUAUAAUUGAAAAUUAAUCCAAGACUCUAAAAGCAUUCUUUUAUUUUUCACUUUCAUUAAGCAGCCAUUCUCCUCUGCUUAAGGGUAUUUCUAUUGAGAAGAAAUAGUAUGCCAAAAAUGCAUAAUUAGCACCAAAAUUAUUACACUAUUUUUUUUUAUCACAACAGUAACAAAGCCUUAGUAAUGCUGCAGCAGUAUUUAAUUUGCUAUGCAUGUUUUAAAAGGAAGGAGAAUAAAUGGGAAAAUCAUAUUAAUGCUCACGUUUCAAUAGAAAUUCCAUUAACCUUGUUUUUAGGCCAUAGAAGUUUAGCACUUUGCUUGUGCCCAUUUGCAUUCAUGCUGGGAGUGAAAAACCUCACAAUACCAUGAUUUCUGAUCACCUUCACUCCUCCUAAAAACUCACUGAGACCAAGGACUGGUAUGCAUAAAUCGUUUAGGAUAUCCAGGAUAGUAAAGAUACUGGAGGAUUUUUUAAAUUCUUCCAGGAUAUAGACAAAAAGGAAUUUUCUGGAGUUCCUGAGUGACUCAGCAAGCUAAGGAUUUGCUGUUGUUCCUGCAGUGUCUCAGGUCACCAUUGUGGUGUGGGUUUUUGAUCCCCAGGAACUUCUGCAUGCUGUGGGUGUAGCCAAAAAAUAAUUUAAGUAUUUAUGCAUUUCAGAUUUAUUAAAACCCUUAGCUCAAUUAAAAAAAGAGCUAUGGCAACUCUCACACAUAAAUGCUGAUUCAAAAUUUAUAAAUAUUAAUGUAGAAUUUAGGAGUAAAUUAAAAGAUGAAUGUAUAAAAUGUAAAAGAUCAUUUCCAUAUUAUAAUGGAUUCAGUAUUAGAAAAUUCAAUAUAAGAUUACAGAAAAUCAUAUUAAUUUACAUUAAAAUUAUUUCAAGUGAUAAAAAUAAUAUAUAUAAUUUAGCAUUCAUUUCUGAUUUUUAUAAACCAUCAAAUAGGAUGCUUUUUUAAAAAAUGUAUCAUUUUAAUGGACUAAUUACAAAGCAUUCCAAUUAUAGACACAUAUAUUGCUUUCACUACUAUGUAAUAUUCAUAGAAAUGUAAAUUAAGGGAACCAAUAAGAAAGUAAGAGGUAGAAAUAAAAUAAGAAAAACAAUUCUCAUUGGAAGCUUAAAAUUCAUAAUGGUAGGAGAAUGUUUUUCACAUUUUUCCCCCAUUUUCAGAUAAUUGAUGCACAAGACUGUACAGGUUUAAGGUGUAGAACAUAAUGACUUGACUGCAGGAGAAUUUAUAUUAUGGUAAUUGGCAAGUGCUAAAAAUCAGAGACUCCCCUCACCAGAGAGAAACAGUUACCAGUGACCAUUAUGCCUCAACACCUGUAUGUCCUACAGGUGCCUCAGAUGCCAAAGUCUAUAAAAAAAUAGUCCUUCCCAGGCUGGCCAUAUUGCAUCACCCAUGGCUUGUUUCACUCUUAUGAUUAUCACCUUCCACCCAGACCCUUGAUGUAGCAUCUGCUUUUUCUGAUGUCCCACUGAUCCCCCUCAGAACCAUGUAUCAAUUUCUCUCCUCCAGUUUCUUUCGCCUGUGCAGUGGCUUCUCUGGGAGUCUCCCUGCUGCCCUGCCUUACUGCUGAGAACAUUCCACUAGGUGCUCUCACAAGAGUUUCCAAGACAAAUCCUCUCCCAUCACUUGACUGCCCUCAACCUCCUGUAACCCUUCAUAGAAUAUGUCCUCGAACAUGAAGCAUGCUCCAGUGUGACACCAGCCCUCAUGCCUGCAUCAUCUGCUGCUGCUGGGGGACACCCAGGUCUGCCAUCACUAGCCUUGGAAGGCUUACUUGGACCCUUGAUAAUCUCCCACACUCCCCAAGCUUUGUCACAGAGCUGUCUUUGUGUCCUGUACUCACUUUUAACCCUUCCAGACUGUUUAGGUCUCCCCAGACCUACCUGGAGAUUCUAGCUGCUCUGUAGCAUAGUUUUGCUUUUCUUAUGUUUGCAGUGUUCUUUUCCCCCAUCCUUUUUUACACCUAGUAUCAUUUCACCUGUAGGUCAAGGCCUGGUUCAACUAAAUAAUCAGUGAAUUUCUCUUGACUAGGAAGCAUCAUCACUCCUUCCUCUGUGCUCUUGCUCAGUUUCAUACUUUAUGGUUGUUCUUCCUGGUGAUUUUAAGUUUCUUUAUGGUAGGAGAACAUUGCUUUUCUCUUCUUCCUUACUCAGCCAUUCAGUUAGUUCCUAAGAGUGUGUUACAGAUAGUAAAUACUGCAUAGACAGAGGAAGAAAGGAGGUAUGUAGUGUUCAAUAUUUUAAACCGUGAUGGAAUUUUGACAAGUUGAGAGCAGAGUAGAGUACCGAAUUCUGGGAACUUCUGUUGGAGGCAAGAAGACUGACUUAUGGAAAACAUAUUAUUGGCAGCAGAGAAGGAGACACAAAGGAUAACUCUCAGGAGUUAGGAUUCAAAUAAGACAGCCACUGACAGACACAAUACAGUUGACUCACCAGCUCUACAGAGCGCUGUAAGAAUGAGAACACCAUUAUAUCACAGAAAUGUAUACAAGUAGUUCUGCAAUGUCAACUUGGGUCAUUGGGAAAAGAUUAAAUUAUGUUGAAGGCCCCCUUAAGAAGUUAAC
rnacentral:lncRNA from 1 species